AUGCAGUCGACGAUGAAGUUAUGACGGAGGCUUCGGCCGACUGAAUGAUGGAUUAGUGGCGGACGGGUGAGUAACGCGUGAGUAACCUGCCUUUCAGAGAGGAAUAACAUUUGGAAACGAAUGGUAAUACCACAUAACAUUACGUUCUCGCAUGGGGAUGUAAUCAAAGAUUUAUCGCUGAGAGAUGGACUCGCGUCCGAUUAGCUGGAUGGUGAGGUAACGGCCCACCAUGGCGACGAUCGGUAGCCGGACUGAGAGGUUGAACGGCCACAUUGGGACUGAGACACGGCCCAGACUCCUACGGGAGGCAGCAGUGGGGAAUAUUGCACAAUGGGGGAAACCCUGAUGCAGCAACGCCGCGUGAAGGAAGACGGUCUUCGGAUUGUAAACUUUUGUUCUUGGUGAAGAAGAAUGACGGUAGCCAAGGAGGAAGCCACGGCUAACUACGUGCCAGCAGCCGCGGUAAUACGUAGGUGGCAAGCGUUGUCCGGAAUUACUGGGUGUAAAGGGAGCGCAGGCGGGAAAUCAAGUUGGAUGUGAAAUGUCGGGGCUUAACCCCGGAACUGCAUCCAAAACUGAUAUUCUUGAGUGAAGUAGAGGUAGGCGGAAUUCCGAGUGUAGCGGUGAAAUGCGUAGAUAUUCGGAGGAACACCAGUGGCGAA
rnacentral:rRNA from 1 species